GGGUCUCCCUCUGUUGUCCAAGGCUGGAGUGUAGUAGUGCUAUCGCAGCUGACUGCAGCCUCAACCUUCCAGGCUGAAGCGAUCCUCCCACCUCAACCUCCCACGUGGCUGAGACUACAGGUGCUUGCCACUAUGCCCAACUAACAUUUGGAAUUUUCGUAUACGUGGAUUCCAGAGGGGUGACAGCGAAACGUGGGACCAUCCAGUUGCAGGAAAACAAGCUUAACACGCCCACUAAUUCUACAUUAUGCUCCUACCUCCCGGCAGCCUCUCCAGGCCCAGAACUUUCUCCAGUCAGCCUCUACAGACCAAGCUCAUGACUCACAAUGGCCUAUUUAGGCCCAUACCCUACGUCACGGCAGCCUCCGCAGAUGAGGCUACUGCCUCACAACAGCCUCCACAGGCACAGCUCCAUCGUUACAAUGGCCUCUUUAGACCCAGCUCCUGCCUCCCAGCCUUCUCUCCAGGCCCUGAACUUUCUCAAGUCGACCUCACCAGGCCCAGCUCAUGCUUCUUUGCAGCCUCUCCAGGCCCAGCUCCUGCAUCUUGGUGGCC
rnacentral:lncRNA from 1 species